AUGAUAGCAAGGGGAGAGACUGUACCAUACAGCGCCGAAGGAGCAAACAUCAAUGUGUGAAUCUCUCAGGCAAAAAGACUCUUGCUGGACG
rnacentral:ncRNA from 2 species